AGAUGGUAAGGUUGAAGAAAUUAGAGUGUUUUGAAGGCGAAUUUGAUGGCGUUAAAGGCUUCAAUACAUAUGUUGAAUCCUUAGAGGAGGGAGGACCUAGCCAUUACAUAUAUGCCGUGAAUAAAAAAAAGCCAGCUAGCCAGGUGGGAGUUGCCGAGUUUGGCGAAAGUGUAAUUUUAAGUGACUGCAAUAUAUGUCUACUCCCAAAAGAUGUUCGUGCCCUAAUAAUUUGCGAAGGUCAACGUGGCACUGUGUCUUCGGACCACUGGAAAAAGACUGUUUGGUUUAAUAAGGGGUGUGAAGAAAUAGAAUACCUUAAUUCUUAUUUUUUCACCUUUUCUCUUCAAAGCCUUGAGAUUCUACUUCUCUACGAAUUGAAUAGUUUAAAGGGACUGUUUAGAGAAGAGAAAGUCGCACCAGCACUGGUCGUCCCCUUCGGCACCUUUUCCCGCCUCAAACAAUUUUCAAUAUGUGAUUGUCCGAAUAUAAAGAAGCUCUUCACGCCUGGAUCGUCGAUGCAAAACCUGGAACAGAUUAAGGUCUAUGGCUGUGAACAAUUAGAGGAAAUAAUAGGUGGGGCUGAAGCAUCUGAUGAUGAAGUUGAAGAAGAAGAAGAAGCAGAAGAAAUUGUGGAAAUAUUCCCCCAAUUGAGGAAAUUGACAUUACAGUAUUUACCGGAGCUGAAGAUUAUAUGCAGUAGCAGUAAUGUAAUACUUUGUGAUUCUCUCAAUUCUAUUAUGAUAGAGGAUUGUCCGAAGCUUAAUAGAUUACCUCUUUCUCUGCACCUUAUUGAUGGAGAACUAUCUUCUCCUCCUCCUUCAUUACAAAUCUAUAUAGAGAAAGAAAGUUGGGAAUUGCUGGAAUGGGACAAUCAUGAUAUGAAGAUGGUCCUUGAACCUCUCUGUCAGUUCAUUUAAUGGUGGCAGUGAAAUCUCAAGGUGGGGGGAGCAGAUUCACAUGACUCUUCCUCUGAUACGUCAUCAAGCCAAAGCCGACUCAAGAAAUAAUUGUGUGGCAUGGUCCGCGUGGACCCGCAACUAGAUCUUGGCUCUCAAAUGUGUUUCCGUGUAAUUCUUAGCUCUUUUGGUUCUGAUUCGCUUUUUAUUUGAACUUUGUUGUGUUAUGAUUUAUCAACAUGUGUUCUUCUCUUUGGCUGAGUGGGAUGAUCUUCUGUAAUAAAUUGAUACUCCAUGUUAAUUUGUUUAGUAAUUGUGAAAGGAUUCAAACAUUGUCUGUUUCUGCUUUA